AUUGAACGCUGGCGGCAGGCCUAACACAUGCAAGUCGAGCGGAUGAAGGGAGCUUGCUCCUGGAUUCAGCGGCGGACGGGUGAGUAAUGCCUAGGAAUCUGCCUGGUAGUGGGGGAUAACGUCCGGAAACGGGCGCUAAUACCGCAUACGUCCUGAGGGUGAAAGUGGGGGAUCUUCGGACCUCACGCUAUUAGAUGAGCCUAGGUCGGAUUAGCUAGUUGGUGGGGUAAAGGCCUACCAAGGCGACGAUCCGUAACUGGUCUGAGAGGGUGAUCAGUCACACUGGAACUGAGACACGGUCCAGACUCCUACGGGAGGCAGCAGUGGGGAAUAUUGGACAAUGGGCGAAAGCCUGAUCCAGCCAUGCCGCGUGUGUGAAGAAGGUCUUCGGAUUGUAAAGCACUUUAAGUUGGGAAGAAGGGCAGUAAGUGAAUACCUUGCUGUUUUGACGUUACCAACAGAAUAAGCACCGGCUAACUUCGUG
rnacentral:rRNA from 1 species